rnacentral:rRNA from 1 species
ACCUCUUUUACAAGGAAGAAGCGAAAGUGACGGUACUUGCAGAAAAAGCGCCGGCUAACUACGUGCCAGCAGCCGCGGUAAUACGUAGGGCGCAAGCGUUAUCCGGAAUUAUUGGGCGUAAAGAGCUCGUAGGCGGUUUGUCGCGUCUGCUGUGAAAACUGGAGGCUCAACCUCCAGCCUGCAGUGGGUACGGGCAGACUAGAGUGCGGUAGGGGAGAUUGGAAUUCCUGGUGUAGCGGUGGAAUGCGCAGAUAUCAGGA